rnacentral:rRNA from 1 species
CCUACGGGUGGCAGCAGUGGGGGAUAUUGCACAAUGGGGGGAACCCUGAUGCAGCGACGCCGCGUGGGUGAAGAAGCGCCUCGGCGCGUAAAGCCCUGUCAGCAGGGAAGAAAAUGACGGUACCUGCAGCAGACGCCCCGGCUCACUACGUGCCCGCCGCCGCGGUAAUACGUAGGGGGCAAGCGUUAUCCGGAUUUACUGGGUGUAACGGGGGCGCAGACGGCGAUGCAAGCCAGGAGUGAAAGCCCGGGGCCCAACCCCGGGACUGCUCUUGGAACUGCGUGGCUGGCUUGCAGGAGGGGCAGGCGGAAUUCCUGGUGUAGCGGUGAAAUGCAUAGAUAUCACGCAGAACUCCGAUUGCGAAGGCAGCAUACCGGCGCCCAACUGACGCUGAAGCACGAAAGCGUGGGUAUCGAACAGGAUUAGAUACCCUAGUAGUC